rnacentral:rRNA from 1 species
UCCUGGUCAGUGACAUAGUUAAACGGCCGCGGUAUCCUAACCGUGCAAAGGUAGCAUAAUCACUUGCCUAUUACUUGUAGGCUAGAAUGAAAGGAAAAACGAAAUAUAAGCUCUCUCUUUAAGAAAAAAAAAUUUCUAACUGAAAAGUGUUAGAUAUAAUCGAAGGACAAGAAGAGCUUUAUCUAAAAAAGAAAUUAUUUAUAAGAUUCGGUUGGGGCGACCAAGAAUACUUUCAAUCAUCCUUCAUCAACAGAUUUAUAGAUCUCAAUUUAGACGACAGAAAAUAAGCUACCUUAGAGAUAACAGGCUAAUUCUGCUAGAGAAUCCUUAGCUAAAGUAGAGAUUGGCACUUCAAUGUUGGCUUAGGGAAACUAUAUGACGCAAAAUUCAAAUAAAGAUGGUCUGUUCAACCAAUAAAUCCCUACAUGAGCUGAGUUGAGACCACGAUCCUAGCCACAGUACAAAAGGACCUGGAUAAGGGCAAUUCAGCUAACGAAUUAAUGCAUACAUUCAUAAUACUACAUACUAU